CCUUCAUGGCAAUUGUAACAAAUUGUUCUCAUCCAUCCACUUAACUGGACUAAGCCUUCACCUACUUGGAGUAGACAUCCCUGUAUCUCAUCUCUGAGUGUGAAGGCAAUUGGUUACCCUCAAUUUGGUUUAGUCCUUUUGCUGAGAUGGCUUACUGGCUUUUGGUUGCUGCACAUGCUACAGCUUCUUGGAGCUACAGGAAUACACGAAGAAUCUGAUCCAAUAAUGAGAUGUCUGGGAUUCAAGUGCCAGCUAACAUAUAUAUUUAAUAUCCAUGUGCCAAAGUGAGGAGUCAAGAAUGACACAUAGGUUGCAAGGUUAAGGAACCUAAAGGAGGAAGAAAAGAAGUGGGAUCAAGACUGAUACCUAUGAAAUACUACAUAGCUAGAGAGAUUGGUAACUGGAUGAAAAUACAAGAGAAAUUGAGGAGUGGUCAAAGGUAAUGAAUGUAAAGGGGGCUUGCAGCAUUUCUCCUGAUUACUCCAGAUGGAAUCGGAGCCAUUGUUCCAGUGGAGAGAAGUUAAGCUUCCAGAGGUAAAAAGAUCUACACCUGAGACACUCUGCUAUUGUUUCCAUGGGCAAGUUGAUUUCCUUCUGGCAUCCAAGAUAACUCCUUGAAAUGAUAAAAUGCAGAUUAGUUGUCUAUCUGCUUCAGGAUGAGAAACUGUCAUGUCAGGAUUUUCUUAGCUAAAAUCAUAUUUCUUGAACAAAUGAAGA